CUGGAACGCGCCCCAGGCGCACCCAGAAACCCUUUGUGAACUUAUACCUUACUGUUGCCUCGGCGCUAGCUGGUCCUCCGGGGCCCCUCACCCUCGGGUGUUGAGACAGCCCGCCGGCGGCCAACCUAACUCUUGUUUUUACACUGAAACUCUGAGAAUAAAACAUAAAUGAAUCAAAACUUUCAACAACGGAUCUCUUGGUUCUGGCAUCGAUGAAGAACGCAGCGAAAUGCGAUAAGUAAUGUGAAUUGCAGAAUUCAGUGAAUCAUCGAAUCUUUGAACGCACAUUGCGCCCUCUGGUAUUCCGGAGGGCAUGCCUGUUCGAGCGUCAUUUCAACCCUCAAGCCUGGCUUGGUGAUGGGGCACUGCUUCUUACCCGAGAAGCAGGCCCUGAAAUUCAGUGGCGAGCUCGCCAGGACCCCGAGCGCAGUAGUUAAACCCUCGCUCUGGAAGGCCCUGGCGGUGCCCUGCCGUUAAACCCCCAACUUCUGAAAAU
rnacentral:rRNA from 1 species